CUGAGCAAGUCACCACAGAGUUUCUCUCUUGAGCUCUCAGAUUCAUCACAUCUCUUCAACUCUUUCACCAGGUUUUCCAAGCCAUGCUCCAGUGGCACAUGUUUGAGUGCCACCUCCCUUCUGCUGACUGCUCCUGAUAGCCUACUCCUUGAUUCACCAUUGAUCAUAGAGAUGAAUGAUCAUUCAACUAAAAAUCUACCCAAAUUCAUUUGCAGUAAAGCAAACAAAACCCCUGCACUCGAUGCCGGAUCUCUUGAUGCAGGUAUCAAGCCUUCUUAUGUGCAGCAACAUAAGCAGAUUAAUAGUCUUGAAGACUACUGAAGAUCCUGUGAGGUAGAAAUUAGUCAUGUACAUUGCCUCAUCCUGGAAUCUGAAAUGCUAUUUUCAUAAGACAUAAGUGUCAAAAUAGUUCUCCAACCUCAGGUAUUAUAAGAUUUUUGUGCUCAUCUGUAUGCAUGCUCUUGCAUGAUUUCUGACCUAGAUGAUGUCCAAAUCUAGUUGCUUGUUUGGUCUGAUAACUUCCAUUUCUGAUACUGAUUGAAAAGGAUGUUUUUUCAACUGAAGGGAACAGCGCAUGUAUCGGUCUCUGUAUCUUUAUUAAUAUACUGCGAAUUGAUGA